UAUCUCUGUAGAGUCUGCAUAUCAAUAAGCGGAGGAAAAGAAACUAACAAGGAUUCCCUUAGUAACGGCGAGUGAAGCGGGAAGAGCUCAAAUUUGAAAUCUUCAAGGUUCUACCUUGACGAAUUGUAGUUCAAAGAAGUGUUUUCUGUUAGAUGAGUAGCAAAAGUUCCUUGGAAUGGGACAUCAUAGAGGGUGAGAAUCCCGUAUUUGGUUAUUCAUUCUAGCUUUGUGAUACACUUUCAAAGAGUCGGAUUGUUUGGGAAUGCAGUCCAAAAUGGGUGGUAAAUUUCAUCUAAAGCUAAAUAUUGGCGAGAGACCGAUAGCGAACAAGUACCGUGAGGGAAAGAUGAAAAGAACUUUGAAAAGAGAGUUAAACAGUACGUGAAAUUGUCAAAAGGGAAGCGUUUGACACCAGUGUUGUUUUUCCGAAAAUCAAUUACGAAUGGCUUGAUUUUGUGUUGUAUUGACCUUAUCAGCUUUCUUCACUUUUUUCGAGUCUUUCUUAAUGCACUUUUUGGUUAACAAGUCAACAUCAAUUUCUUUUGUUGUAAAAGAGUAUUCGGAAGGUGGCUUUCUUUUCGGAGAAAGUGUUUAUAGCCCUAUACUUCUACAAUCAGGAGAGAUUGAGGUCUGCAGCGUAGAUCCUUCGGGGUUAGAUACACUUGUGCUAAGUUGUAGCUUUUCAUAGACAACUUGUUGACUAUGUUUAGUCAUGCGGCUUACUCGCUUGUGCUAUUUUACCUACGCUUAGGAUGUUGACUGAUAUGUAGUCGUA
rnacentral:rRNA from 1 species